AAAUUGAAGAGUUUGAUCAUGGCUCAGAUUGAACGCUGGCGGCAGGCCUAACACAUGCAAGUCGAACGGUAGCACAGAGAGCUUGCUCUCGGGUGACGAGUGGCGGACGGGUGAGUAAUGUCUGGGAAACUGCCUGAUGGAGGGGGAUAACUACUGGAAACGGUGGCUAAUACCGCAUAACGUCGCAAGACCAAAGAGGGGGACCUUCGGGCCUCUUGCCAUCAGAUGUGCCCAGAUGGGAUUAGCUU
rnacentral:rRNA from 2 species